CACGUAGGCGGUCUUUUAAGUCAGGUGUGAAAUCCCCGCGCUUAACGUGGGCAUUGCAUUUGAAACUAUGUAGCUAGAGUUCUGUAGAGGGGGGUAGAAUUCCAGGUGUAGCGGUGAAAUGCGUAGAGAUCUGGAGGAAUACCGAUUGCGAAGGCAGCCCCCUGGACAGUGACUGACGCUCAUAUGCGAAAGCGUGGGGAUCAAACAGGAUUAGAUACCCUAGUA
rnacentral:rRNA from 1 species